CAGGGGGAUGGCUCUGAAGCAUAUAAAAGGCUCGCCAUCACAGUGGUCUUCAUUCGCUCAUCUUGACUUCUCUUCUCUUGUCCUCACUGGUCAACAGGCUUUGCCUACACUACUACCAACAACAUGUCCAACGGAUGUGGAUGCUGCGGUGGAAAUAGCUACACUGUGUGCUGCACCAGUGCCAAGAAGUCGUGCUGCAAGACACCAAUGUGCUGCCCGCCCAUGCAGUGCUGCUACCCCACUACCUGCUGCAUGCCCAUGCAGACCUGCUGCUACACCAUGAACAACGGAGGCUGCUGCGGCGGUAACGGCGGCUGCUGUGGCAACUAAAUCCACGCGGCAAAGGGCAGGCAGGGCCGUGCUGCUUGCUGCUUCCCUCCUGACUCCUUCUCUGCUGGAUAUGGAUAUGGAUAUGGAUAUGGAUAUGGAUAUGGAUACCUCCCUGAAAGCUCUUCCUCAUUUUUUUAGAGACUGUAGAUCUUCUCUCCUCUCCUUUGUUUGCUUUUAAUCACCAAAUGCUUGUAAUGUGCUUUGAAGUUGCUACCUACUGAUCAGUGUGAUUGUCCUUUGUAAGCACUACUCCUGCUGUUAAUUUUCCUCUUGGUGUGUGGGAUGUUUAAUUCUUUCAAUCACUGUUUUGCUUCAGUCUGUCUGAAAAACAAUAAAACCUGUAGUUCAUGACCUUGCAAAA